GAACACCAGCCCCGCUGCCCGCGAGGCGAGGGGCGGGGCGGCGCGCGCGGAUCGAUGGGCGAAGCUGGGGAGGAAUUUCAAUCCCCGGAGCGAAGUUAGAGCUUGAAGGACGGCGGCGGUGGCGGCGGGCGCAGCCCCGGAGCGGCGGCCGGGCGAGCAGUGGAAGCUGCCUUGGUGACACUGUGUCCUGCACCUUGUCUGGACCCGUGCUCUCCCUCUGUGUCCUGCAGUGAGGAUGUGAUGCCCACGGCCCCCCCUGGGGAGGAACACACCAGCCCGGUCUUCUCAGACAGGCCAGGUCAUCAGCGGGCCCUGACCCGAAGCUGGAAGGUUCUCUUGAUGUGACUCCUCAGGCUCGCGGGGACAGCACAGCGAGGGCGGGCACCUUGCUGGACGGUUCACCCUGUUUGCCCUGC